AGAGUUUGAUCCUGGCUCAGGACGAACGCUGGCGGCACGCUUAACACAUGCAAGUCGAACGAGAGAAGAGGAGCUUGCUUUUCUGAUCUAGUGGCGGACGGGUGAGUAACACGUGAGCAAUCUGCCUUUCAGAGGGGGAUACCGAUUGGAAACGAUCGUUAAUACCGCAUAACAUAAUUGAACCGCAUGAUUUGAUUAUCAAAGAUUUAUCGCUGAAAGAUGAGCUCGCGUCUGAUUAGCUGUUGGUAAGGUAACGGCUUACCAAGGCGACGAUCAGUAGCCGGACUGAGAGGUUGAUCGGCCACAUUGGGACUGAGACACGGCCCAGACUCCUACGGGAGGCAGCAGUGGGGAAUAUUGCACAAUGGAGGAAACUCUGAUGCAGCGAUGCCGCGUGAGGGAAGAAGGUUUUAGGAUUGUAAACCUCUGUCUUCAGGGACGAAAAAAGACGGUACCUGAGGAGGAAGCUCCGGCUAACUACGUGCCAGCAGCCGCGGUAAUACGUAGGGAGCGAGCGUUGUCCGGAAUUACUGGGUGUAAAGGGAGCGUAGGCGGGAUCGCAAGUCAGAUGUGAAAACUAUGGGCUUAACCCAUAAACUGCAUUUGAAACUGUGGUUCUUGAGUGAAGUAGAGGUAAGCGGAAUUCCUAGUGUAGCGGUGAAAUGCGUAGAUAUUAGGAGGAACAUCAGUGGCGAAGGCGGCUUACUGGGCUUUAACUGACGCUGAGGCUCGAAAGCGUGGGGAGCAAACAGGAUUAGAUACCCUGGUAGUCCACGCCGUAAACGAUGAUUACUAGGUGUGGGGGGACUGACCCCUUCCGUGCCGCAGCAAACGCAAUAAGUAAUCCACCUGGGGAGUACGACCGCAAGGUUGAAACUCAAAGGAAUUGACGGGGGCCCGCACAAGCAGUGGAGUAUGUGGAUUAAUUCGAAGCAACGCGAAGAACCUUACCAGGUCUUGACAUCGUAUGCAUAGCUCAGAGAUGAGUGAAAUCUCUUCGGAGACAUAUAGACAGGUGGUGCAUGGUUGUCGUCAGCUCGUGUCGUGAGAUGUUGGGUUAAGUCCCGCAACGAGCGCAACCCUUACUGUUAGUUGCUACGCAAGAGCACUCUAGCAGGACUGCCGUUGACAAAACGGAGGAAGGUGGGGAUGACGUCAAAUCAUCAUGCCCCUUAUGACCUGGGCCUCACACGUACUACAAUGGCUGUCAACAGAGGGAAGCAAAGCCGCGAGGUGGAGCGAACCCCUAAAAGCAGUCUUAGUUCGGAUUGUAGGCUGCAACCCGCCUACAUGAAGUCGGAAUCGCUAGUAAUCGCAGAUCAGCAUGCUGCGGUGAAUACGUUCCCGGGCCUUGUACACACCGCCCGUCACGCCAUGGGAGUCGGUAACACCCGAAGCCUGUAGUCUAACCGCAAGGAGGACGCAGUCGAAGGUGGGAUUGAUGACUGGGGUGAAGUCGUAACAAGGUA
rnacentral:rRNA from 1 species